GAUGAACGCUGGCGGCGUGCCUAAUACAUGCAAGUCGAGCGAACGGACGAGAAGCUUGCUUCUCUGAUGUUAGCGGCGGACGGGUGAGUAACACGUGGAUAACCUACCUAUAAGACUGGGAUAACUUCGGGAAACCGGAGCUAAUACCGGAUAAUAUUUUGAACCGCAUGGUUCAAAAGUGAAAGACGGUCUUGCUGUCACUUAUAGAUGGAUCCGCGCUGCAUUAGCUAGUUGGUAAGGUAACGGCUUACCAAGGCAACGAUGCAUAGCCGACCUGAGAGGGUGAUCGGCCACACUGGAACUGAGACACGGUCCAGACUCCUACGGGAGGCAGCAGUAGGGAAUCUUCCGCAGUGGGCGAAAGCCUGACGGAGCAACGCCGCGUGAGUGAUGAAGGUCUUCGGAUCGUAAAACUCUGUUAUUAGGGAAGAACAUAUGUGUAAGUAACUGUGCACAUCUUGACGGUACCUAAUCAGAAAGCCACGGCUAACUACGC
rnacentral:rRNA from 1 species